CUUCCUGCAGCUGGAAUGAUUGCUCUAUCUAUCUCUUCUUCCUUCUCUAGUCCCGCCCUUCCAACUCUCCUCUCUGGAGGGGGAAUCGGUCGCCCAAAAAGGGCCGGCAAAAGCGCCGACGUGUUCAGAGGAGCGGAAGUAGUCAAAUUUCAUUGAGAACCGUAAAGUGCGGCUGGCUGUCUCCCUUUCCGGAUAACGACAGCAGCUCCGACUGUCAGUGCCGGCCUUCCUCGUGUUAAGAGGAUCUGCCGGACCCUUGCUAAUUCAAAUUUUUUCCCAUUCCGGGCCCUUCCCUAUCGUCGCCCCCUUCACCUUGGAUCAUGUUCAAGAAAUUUGAUGAAAAAGAAAAUGUGUCCAACUGCAUCCAGUUGAAAACCUCAGUUAUAAAGGGUAUUAAGAACCAAUUGAUAGAACAAUUUCCAGGUAUUGAGCCAUGGCUUAAUCAAAUCAUGCCUAAGAAAGAUCCUGUCAAAAUAGUGCGAUGCCAUGAACAUAUAGAAAUCCUUACAGUAAAUGGAGAAUUACUAUUUUUUAGACAAAGAGAAGGGCCUUUUUAUCCAACCCUAAGGUUACUUCACAAAUAUCCUUUUAUCCUGCCACACCAGCAAGUUGAUAAAGGAGCCAUCAAAUUUGUACUCAGUGGAGCAAAUAUCAUGUGUCCAGGUUUAACUUCUCCUGGAGCUAAACUUUACCCUGCUGCAGUAGAUACGAUUGUUGCAAUCAUGGCAGAAGGAAAACAGCAUGCUCUGUGUGUCGGAGUCAUGAAGAUGUCUGCAGAAGAUAUUGAGAAAGUCAACAAAGGAAUUGGCAUUGAAAAUAUCCAUUAUUUAAAUGAUGGGCUGUGGCAUAUGAAGACGUAUAAAUGAGCCUCGGAAGGAAUGCACUUGGCUAAAUAUGGAUAUUGUGCUGUAUCUGUGUUUGUGUCUGUGUGUGACAGCAUGAAGACAAUACCUCUGGUUAUGCUGAAUAAAUUCAACAGAUGCUAAAAUUCUGUUGGCUUCAAAAAUUAUUUUAAUUUUUCUUAAAGUCAAGUUAAGAUUGGGUAGCAAACUUGGACAUUAAGAGGUAUUUGAUGGAUACAGACAUUUACAAGAUUGUGGUGACCCAUGUUACAGUUAGAAGGUGGUGAGAAAGGUGAGGGUGGAUAGUAAAAAGAGAGAGACCAUUUGGCUGGCUGUUGCAGCUGGACCCCCAAGAUAUAACAUAGGUGAAGGUUAUUGAUCCAGGCUCUGACCCUCAGACUGAGAAACUAUUUCCCACUAAUGAAACUUGUAAGACUUGAGGAGUCCCACAUUAGAAUGUGAAUGUGUUAAUUUAUAGUGGUAAGUCUGCUUAGGAUACACAAUUAGUAAACAGGAAGUUUCUUGGUGAACAUGGAUAAGAGUAAGGGAAGGUUGAAAUUUGGGGGAAUAUUUCAUCUGGGCUGGUGUAAGGCUUAGAGAAUUUUUCUUACUUCAUCAUUAAUUAGAAUGCUUAUGUCUGCCACAAUCUUUCCUAGCCUGUAGAGGAACCCUGAUAUUUUACUUCCUAUAUUCUUUUUAAGUUCUAUGUAGAAUAUUUUCCUUUGUCAUGACAGUUAUAUUCUACAACUUAGUAUAUUGUUAUAUUUUACUAUUUAUUCCUGAUGGAUAAAAGUAUAGUCUCAUCAGUGACCCAUUUAUAAAUCAUCCUUCAGAGUAGGUUUCUUCAACAGUCUCAUUUUGUGCUGACUUACCAGUUUCAAAUUCAGAUGUCUCUCCACUUGAGGGAUGAGGCACCCUAUUUGAGGCCUGUAGCACCUUACAUUCUUAAAAAGAGACUAUCUGAGUCAUUGAUGUCAAAACCAAACUUUGAACCUCUAGUUUUGGUACUAAGUUAAUGUUAAUCGACCAAGAUUGCCUAUGGAGUGUUAGCAAUGACAAACAAAGCACAUACAUAUUAGAGAAGUUAAAACCUUUAAUUGCUUGGUUUCUGAAAUAAUUUAUCCUUAUUUCUAACCACUGUUAACAGUGGGUGUGGGGAACACUUUAAAAAUAUUUAACAUCAUCAUCUGUGCUUGUUUUUCCUACUAUGCUGAGGUAUAGUGACUCUGUUGCCUUGGUGAUGUGGACUAAAUAUGUAUGUUUUCUCCUUCCCCUGGGUCUGAGGCCUCAGGUCAUGGUGUUAGUCAGGGGUGUCACUCUACGCUGGGAGCCUGGUCAGUGUCUCAACAUUAGGUCAUGCAGGAAAGCCAAUUCAAAUAGGUUAAACUAGCAUCUCAGCCUCUUGAGGUCUUAUGCUUAAAGGAAACCUGGUCUACCCACAUUCCUGAGACUAGGAAUACAGGGAGAGCCUGUUUUCUCUAAGGCAAUGUGUCUUCAGUUCAUUUUUAGUUUCAGAAUUAACUUUGUGUGAAGCCUGCCUAUAAUGUAGCCAUUCUAUGUAUCUGACAUACUCAGCCAAGGUCAGUUCAGCUCAGUGAACUUUUUUUUUUUAAAGAUUUUAAUUUAUUUGUUUGACAGAAAGAGAGCACAAGUAGGGUGAGAGGCAGAGUCAGAGGGAGAGGGAGAAGCAGGCUCCCCGCUGAGUAGGAAGCCCGAUGCAGGACUCGAUCCCAGGACCCCGGGAUCACGACCUGAGCCAGAGGCAGAUGCUUCACUGACUGAGCCACCCAGGCGUCCCCUCAGUGAACAUUUUUUGAAUACCUGCUAGGUUCUAGGUGAUGUGGCACAAAGAUGAAUAAUACACAAGUGGCCCUUGCCCUUAAGGAACUUCCAGGCUAGUGAGUAAAUUUACAUUUUUUAAAAAUCUGGGUAAUGGUGACAGCCCAAUACCGAUUUAUAAAGCCACUGGGAACUACUAAUACUUUUACAAUUUCGGUCACCAAACUUUGCAAAUUACACAUGAGCUAAAUAUAAAAAUAUUCCUUAGAUUGUAUCCAAUGUGAGAAGGUUAAAAACAUCCAGAUGUCUUGGAGUUGCAAUGAUUCAGCAUUCCAACUCAGAUGGCUGACCCAUUGUGCAGUAAUAGAAAGGCCUGAUCAGCCCUCUUCUAGCAGACUAUUAUAGUGGUUUGGUGGUGGUCUCUUGGCAGCUGCAUUUUUCCUUUUCUUUUUUUCUAAUGUUCUGGACCCAAAACAGACAGCUGGAUUUAUCCCAGGGGUAGUCAUGAACAUUUCCAAUUCGAGGAAUUUGAUAGUCCCCAAACAGAAGGUCAUAUGCCAUUUGUCAAACAAUGAUUAUAUCCAGCCAAGUUCCUCCUUUGGAUACAAAUCAGCUACUGAGGAUACAGUAUUUCUAAGCAUAGUACUUCAAAAAAUAUAAGAAUGGCAAAUGACUCAAUUUGCACAGGUAUUUCAUUACAAUAAAUAUUUUACUUUUCUGUUGUUCAUGAGAAUAUUAAUAAUGUAGCAGUCAUAUAUUAAUGGGAAUAUGAAAUGAAUGUAUGCCCAAACAAAAUGUGGUAAAUAUUUUAACUUUGUUUAUCUAGGUUCCUUAAUUUUGAGAAUAUAUCUCUCAAGGCUCUUCACGAAACUCAAAAUGUUCCAAUUUCUAAAGGAGUAUCCACUAGAACUGAUUUAUAAUGAAAGGAAAAAAAUGAAAAUGUAUGCAUCCUAUGUCAAUAUAACCAUCACUUCUGAGGUCUCAAGCAAUCAGAAACUUACUCAAGUAAGAAUUAGGCCAUUAAAAUAUAUUUGGAAAGCCCUUCAGAACACUUAUGUUUAGAAUGUUACUAGUUGUGUUAAGGCAGUAAGAAUUAGAUUAAAUAUAAUUGUUCUUAAUAUCCCAGUCUCUCAGCAAUAGUUCCUAAAGAAAUCAUGGCUGUCAACAUGGAGACUGAUGCAUGUAAAUGUAUACUUUGUAUUAUAUGUUUUUAUAUUUUGUAUGUAUACUUUUUAUAACAGGUAAAAGAAUGAGUACAUAUAAUGAACUAUAACACCAAUUUGUUUAAUAUUGUAUUAAAACUAAUUAAGUAUUUGUAAAGGACUACAACUCCAUCAGAACAGGAGUGAAUAAUGUGAUUGAGAACCAGUUUUUAAUCUGUGUUGAGACUAUUAAGCAUGCAGGUUGGUUCGUUGAUUGGUUGGUUUGCUUAAGAGGCUGGCCUCCUGGAGAAUAUAAUUUAUGUAUGGGAAAAUAUACAGGAGAUGAUUCACUGGAAUUCUCCUAGUAAUAUCCUGUUCAUCCAAACUACUUAGUACUAUUAAUUUUUGUCUCCUGGAGUGAAAAAUGAAAGGACACCAAAUUUUAUCCAUGAACACUUUGAGAAAUAAAAGAUCAAUUAGUGAAGUAAUUUCUAAUUAAAAUCCUAAUUGUUAACAGAGAAUGACAUGCUUCAUUAUUGUUCAAUUCUAAUUAAAUGGGUUAUCUAACACAUUUUAAAAUCUCAUUUUAAAAGUAAAACAAAUUAUGAUUUCCACAUCCUAUUUUUUAUUGCUCUUGUUCCAUUCCUCAAUUUUAAAGUACUUUAAUUUCAGCUAAUAUGUGAGUAGAGGGAACUUUUAGGGUAUAAUCAUUCACUCUCUUCAGGUUCAUUGUAAGUGUUCCCAGAACUCUACCAUAGGGGGAAAUAACUCAAUUUAAAAUAUGCAAAGAUUAGUUUUCUCUCCUUCUAAUUUUAAUUUUGUAUCACAGGACAUGAUUGUGAAUGAUAACUGUGAACUUUCAUUUAAUCUUCUGUGGUGAAAUAAGUAAUUUCUAUUGAUUUUCACAAGCAUGUGAGCAAAAGACUGUUUUAAUAAGCAAUAAAUCAUGUAAGCACUUGCUUGGAGGAAGUGCCAUUUCUCCAAACAUAUGCCUUGAAAACAAAUUAAAUUCAGUUCCCUUUUUGCCUUGGGGAAAGCCAUAUUGGGGAGACUUUUGAGGUCGGGCAAUCUGUUUUUAUUCUUCCCACUUUCUAUUUCAAAAGGGGACACUCUCUCUCUUUGUCACCAAAUGCUGGGGUUGUCCUUUUAUGCUGAUGCAUGAUGAAACCCUGAGGCUUGGAAACUUGCACACUAAUGAGAUGAUUUUGUGAUGAAACUGCAUGUUGGAUUGAUACUGCCCGUGAAUGAGCUUAAAUUUGAGACAACUUUUAAAAGGAGCAGUGCACGUUCUUCUGGUUUUGCUUCCCUAUCAGCAGGGCUUGAAAUGUCUGUUUCUGCAUACAGAUGUCUUACCAAUAAUUUUUCUCAUGAUCUGAAAGAUUUUGUAUGUACUUCUUGGUCUGGAUUCUGUUUUCAUCAGGUCUAAUGCUGAUGAACUCAUUUUGUAAAGCCAAAAUUCACUGUUCCCAUAAACAUCUGGACUAGGUUGGGCAGGAUGAGGAGGAUGGGAGGAGAGUCCUUUUUGCCAUGUAGGCUCUGGAAGGUUUCUUGGAGAGUUGACUUAUGCGGGAUUAGAAAAAAGUACGCUUUUGCCUGACUAAGGUAUUUCUAAAAGUUGCUUGUGUGAGCAUUUUAGAUUUCAGAAAGUUCAACCUGAAAUGUAUGUGAAUAUAGAGUAGAAAGUUUCACUUAGUGGGAUAACCACUGUCUGUAGCCCAUCAAGUUAACGUGUCUCCUAAAUGCUUUCCAAAAGUACAGGACUAGAAAACAUUUUUCACGGGCAAUGCUUUAUUCUGUUUUAAAAAUAGUAGGGGCUAAAGUCUAGUAAAAACUCGGACACUUAUGCUGUACUGAUUUUAUAUCGUGACUUACAAGGUACAAAUUUUGUAUUUUGUAAAAUAUUUUGAAAGAAGUCUGCAAAGUAAUUCCCCUUUCUUGCUCCCAAAUGUGGAAGUCUGAGAGAAGGCACAUGGCCCCAUGAGUUUCUGGGUGUUGUCAAACCCAAUUCUCUCUCAACUACCAAAUGCCCAGAUACAUUUACUGGGAAUGCAGGAGUCUCAUUUAAGCUGUGGUUUUUGCCUAUGUAAAGAGAAACAUCUUGAUUAAAGUGUGAGGGGAGAGAAACCAUACCGAUUUGGGCAGUUUGGGCUCAAUAAUGUAUAAUUUGCUGUGAAAGGGGAACUUGCUCUAAGUUCAUGUUCUUAAAAGCAACUUCUGAACUUCUCCUAAAUAAGUAUUUACUUUAUACAAAAGCUGUUUGAGGAAGAUUGCAUGGCACAGAUUAAAUGUACAGAUGUUAUCUUAAAACUUAAGGAGUUCCCUUAUGAAUUUGAAUAUUCAAUACCAGCUGUUAGUCACAUCAACAUUUUAAUAUUUUACCAUCUAGGUAUUUAAUAAAAGGGAUUGAUGCAUAUUUAGCUGUGUAAAGUGUUAGUUAAACUUGUUCAGGUGGCUAAGAAGGAGAGGGAGAGAACAUUCCCAGAGCACCUACUAUAUGCACAAGCUCUAUUCCAGUAUCUUGCUUCAUCUUUAGUAUGAUUCCAUGAGGUAAAUUUUAGUUCUCAUUUUACAAAUGAGGAAACUAAGGCACCUGAGGGGUUAUAGAACUUUCCUGAAGAUACAUACAGAAUUGGGAUGUGGACCUAGGUCUGCCUGACUGCAAACCCUGUUUUGCAGAAAGUCUGCCUUCACAUUUCAAAAAAUAACCUCGGCCCACAGUCGUAUCGCCAUCUUUAUUUCUGGGUUAUUGGAGAGGAGUCCAAGUUGGCCACGCCUCUGAUCCACAGCAGGGAAACAGUAGGAUUCGAAUGUGGUUAAGAACGGGCUGCUUGCACAGGGUCUUAUUUGUGCUUCUGAGGGAACCGCUGCCCUCUUCGUCGGUGGGGUAUAUGGAGAGAAUCUUUUGAAACUGGACUUAGUCCUGAGGGCUGAACUUUUUCUAUUAGUCACCUUCAGGCCAGGUGACUUGUGACCAUUUAAAGGUUAUGCCAUUUAGAAGCCUUGGCUGAUAACGCCAUUUAGGAAAGGAUACAAGGGGGAGAGUUAGUUAAAUGGGGGAGAUUAUAGGGUAUAAUGUGCAAGGGCAGGAUAGCAGCUGCUUUGUGACUAUCAAUAUAUCCAAAAGAUAAAUGGGGAAGAGUAGUGAAUAUUAAAAUUAAUGAGAGGAGCAGUUUGGUUCAGUUAUAAUCUAAGGAGAAAAGUUGAGGGGUCUAAUCUAUGUAUUGUUCCAGAUGCAGUGAUUGAAUUUUCAGAAAGAAGAUCCAAUGAUUUAAUUUUCAGAAGGAAGGUCUAGUGAUUAGACUCAUGCAAGGAGAUGGCCUGGGGCCUGCUAAAAGUCAGGUUGCAAUUUCCAUAGCGUUCAAGACAACCAGAAUAAUAAAUAGGACUUUCAGAAGGAACUUAAAGUUUUCUCCCAUUUCACAUAUUAGCCUCGGGGUGGGGGGUGGGGGUCUUAUCAUUUCUGAAGUUGGUUAGACCUGUGCUGUAACUCCAAAAUACAUACUGGAU